rnacentral:rRNA from 2 species
UACGAAGGAUGCGAGCGUUAUCCGGAUUUAUUGGGUUUAAAGGGUGCGUAGGCGGCCUUAUAAGUCAGUGGUGAAAUCCUAUCGCUUAACGAUAGACGUGCCAUUGAUACUGUAGGGCUUGAGUACAGAUGCCGUUGGCGGAAUGUGUCAUGUAGCGGUGAAAUGCAUAGAUAUGACACAGAACACCGAUUGCGAAGGCAGCUGACGAAACUGUAACUGACGCUGAGGCACGAAAGCGUGGGGAUCAAACAGG